GUCCUACGGGGCGCAGCAGUGGGGAAUAUUGCACAAUGGGGGAAACCCUGAUGCAGCGACGCCGCGUGAGUGAGGAAGUAUUUCGGUAUGUAAACCUCUUUUGUCAGGGAACAAAGGCGGGGACGUGUCCCCGGAUGAGUGUACCUGAAGAAAAAGCAUCGGCUAACUCCGUGCCAGCAGCCGCGGUAAUACGGAGGAUGCGAGCGUUAUCCGGAUUUAUUGGGUUUAAAGGGUGCGCAGGCGGUCUGUUAAGUCAGCGGUCAAAGCCCGGGGCUCAACCCCGGCCCCCCGUUGAACCUGGCAGU
rnacentral:rRNA from 1 species